GACGAACGCUGGCGGCGUGCUUAACACAUGCAAGUCGAACGGAAAGGCCCUGCUUUUGUGGGGUGCUCGAGUGGCGAACGGGUGAGUAACACGUGAGUAACCUGCCCUUGACUUUGGGAUAACUUCAGGAAACUGGGGCUAAUACCGGAUAGGAGCUCCUGCUGCAUGGUGGGGGUUGGAAAGUUUCGGCGGUUGGGGAUGGACUCGCGGCUUAUCAGCUUGUUGGUGGGGUAGUGGCUUACCAAGGCUUUGACGGGUAGCCGGCCUGAGAGGGUGACCGGCCACAUUGGGCCUGAGAUACGGCCCAGACUCCUACGGGAGGCAGCAGUGGGGAAUAUUGCACAAUGGGCGGAAGCCUGAUGCAGCAACGCCGCGUGCGGGAUGACGGCCUUAGGGUUGUAAACCGCUUUCGCCUGUGACGAAGCGUGAGUGACGGUAAUGGGUAAAGAAGCACCGGCUAACUACGUG
rnacentral:rRNA from 1 species